CCUACGGGAGGCAGCAGUGGGGAAUAUUGCACAAUGGGGGAAACCCUGAUGCAGCGACGCCGCGUGAGUGAAGAAGUAUUUCGGUACGUAAAGCUCUAUCAGCAGGGAAGAAAAUGACGGUACCUGACUAAGAAGCCCCGGCUAACUACGUGCCAGCAGCCGCGGUAAUACGUAGGGGGCAAGCGUUAUCCGGAUUUACUGGGUGUAAAGGGAGCGUAGACGGCAGCGCAAGUCUGGAGUGAAAUCCCAUGGCUCAACCAUGGAACUGCUUUGGAAACUGUGCAGCUAGAGUGCAGGAGAGGUAAGCGGAAUUCCUAGUGUAGCGGUGAAAUGCGUAGAUAUUAGGAGGAACACCAGUGGCGAAGGCGGCUUACUGGACUGUAACUGACGUUGAGGCUCGAAAGCGUGGGGAGCAAACAGGAUUAGAUACCCCAGUAGUC
rnacentral:rRNA from 1 species